rnacentral:misc_RNA from 1 species
GAAACCUAAUAAGAGAACUAAUCCAUAAUAGAAUAAAAGAAGAUCAAAGAAUAUGAACUAGAAAACAUUUCAUUGGGUACUUGUACUUAACCAUCAUUGUCUACAAUGUUCAUAACUUGCAAGGAUCGCAAUUCCUCCAUAGUUUCUCCUUAGUUGGAUUGGUUAAAAGCUUUUUAACCUGCAGACAUCGGGUACUUGUACUUCAAAGUGGUCCUCAUCUUCUCCUAUCCAUUUUGGAUAUUUUUCCUGUCACCAUUUGUUCCACUCGGUCGGAAGUCCUUGAUUAGUUGUUUUGCCCUUACCAGCGUACUAACUGUGGAUGGGAUAGGUAACAGAGACAU